UUCUAUUCAUAUUCCAGAUAUCCUUAGAGUCUCCACUCUAAAAUGCUUCUUGAACAUUUGAAAGGGGUAAAAAUGAGUUGAAUUUGAUUUGGUAUUCAAGUGUUUGGGUCCUUUUUUGGUCUGAUUUGGUUGUUGGGUGUUAUUUAAUCUUAUUCUUGACUCAAAAUCAUAUCAAAGGUGGUUUCUCUUGCUACUUCUGGGUGGUCAUUGGCAGAGAAUUUCUGAGAAUAAUAAGAGGGUUCUAGAGAUCAGAAAUUGAAAGAGCUAAAACUAUUCACUAUUCUAUUCAUAUUCCAGAUAUCCUUAGAGUCUCCACUCUAAAAUGCUUCUUGAACAUUUGAAAGGGGUAAAAAUGAGUUGAAUUUGAUUUGGUAUUCAAGUGUUUGGGUCCUUUUUUGGUCUGAUUUGGUUGUUGGGUGUUAUUUAAUCUUAUUCUUGACUCAAAAUCAUAUCAAAUGUGGUUUCUCUUGCUACUUCUGGGUGGUCAUUGCUGUUAAUUCCUGUCCUUGUUACUGCUACUGUUGUUUUCAUUUGCUGAAACUCACUCAUUUGCUUCCAUUAUUCCAGGUACUCCUUGAUUCUUUAGAAGAUGAUAUGCAAACAUACAAGUUGUAAUUGCCUGAAGUUUUUCAUGAAAGAAUGACUGAUUUCCCUUUAGAUCUUCAAUGCCAAUUUUCUGUUUAAAAUUCAAGAAGUCAGUAGUUUAGUGUAAUGAUGAUUAGCCUAGCCUAUUCAUCCUAGUGUAGUAGUAUUUGGGAUUUAUACUGCUCUUUCAUUUUGCUGGAAACUUGUGGACAGUUAACUUGUUUGGACAUUUGAGGGACUCUGUAUAUGGACUUUUGCUUAAGAUAUGCAUGUAUUCAAUUAUAUGGUUAGGUUUGCUUUGAUCUCUAGCUUGUCAUAUUCAUUUGAAAAGUUAGAGCUUGGUUAAUCAAAAGGGCAAUAGUUUAUUCCUAAAGUAAGAUGUUGUGAUAGGCAUUCUUUAUUGCAAAGCUGUUGAUAUUUCAUAAAAUUGGGCUGUACAUUUAUAAAGUUGUAC
rnacentral:lncRNA from 1 species